GCCUUCAGACCUGGAUUGAGAUCUACACCAUCAACUCUGGCUCUUAGGCCCUCAAACUACACCAUCACUUUCCUGAGUCUCCGGCUUGCAGACAGCAGAGGUCCUGAAAACUAAAAACAAAGGCAAAGAGAGUGAAGUGAGGAAGAAGAUGAUCUAUUCUGAAUUGACUGUCAGUAAAGAACAUGGCUUCUGCUCUGGCUUUGUGGAAGAAAUCACAAAAAUAUGACGGUCCAAUGUGUUCUUGGGAACAGGGAGAAGAAUAUUACCUGGGAACAGCCUGGGACACUGCAAGGAAGAGAGCGUCCACAUCAUUUGAAUAAGCUACAAGUGAUAAGUCAUUUUUCAUUAAUUCAGCUAACAAACAUUUAUUAAAAGCCUACUAUGUGCUGGUACUGUUCUAGGUGCUGAAGAUACAGCCUUAAAUAAGGUGAAGAAGGUCCCUGCCCUCAGAUGUGUACAUUCUAGUCGAAGAGACCUAAAAAGCUAGGAAUAAAUAAACUCGGGUAAUGUAAGUGCUAGGAAAUAAAAUUAGGCAAGAUAAAAGAAUGGAAAAGGUCCAAAGGUGGAUGGGCAGGGGUGCGAGGGAAGGAGGCUGAUGGUUAUUUUAGAUAGGGGGGUCAAGAUGGACCUACAUACACCAACCAAGAUUCCAGCAAGGUCAACCUUUGGCUGCCUGCUAAAUGUGAUUUAAGAUACGCUGCCAGGAAAGGACGCAUCCAUUUAUUCAUUCAAAAAUGUACUGCUGGACAUGACUAGUGUGUACUGGACACUGCUGUGCAUUAGGGAUACAGGGUAAGCAGAAAGAAACCAAAACAAAACAUGCUGCAGGAAGGUAGCCCUUAACCAGGUAAACGGCCAAAUAAAUAAAGGGCUAUCACUGGUGACUUUUGCCAAAAGUGCAACAAAGGAAACUGCACUUAUUCAAACUGAAAUAGCUAGGCGCUAAAACCAACAGAAGCCAUCCAUGCUCAGAGGUUUUCUGGCUUCUCAGCUAACAGAGAUUUGAUGGCAAGUGGGAAGGGGAGGAAUGUGGACAGGAUCCAAGCCUGAGGUUACUGAAAGUCUGGAAAGAUAUUUCUGCAAGGAUGAACAUACAUACUUACCUGCAUGUGUAAGUAUGUCAAUAAGAUAAAAUCCUAGAUACAGAAUUGCUCAAACUUUGUAUUUAUAUAUAACGUUUGCAAAACUUAAAACACAAAAUGGAAAGUUAGGUGAAGAUGAGUGGGAAGAAGUGAAAGUCUUUGAAAUUGUGUGGGAGAACAGAACUCCAAAACAUUACCAAAACAAUUUAUUCAGACUGCACUCACAUUUUUCAUGCCAAUGGUACAACUCUCAGAGAAAAGUAUGUGAGGUGUCAGCUUCUUCAUUUCAGCAAGUCAAAUUUCUCGUUCCAUUUUCUCAUUCAGUUCAUAGUUCCAGAGUACCCUGGACCAUGUUCAUUUGCCCUUCAGAUUUUCUUUAAGAUGACUGACAAAAUUGCUAAUGGGAUGCAAUGGCUUUAGACUCUAGGUCACUGGUUUUCAUGUCAGUGAGUCCCAUAGCAGUGUUUCCUUUUUUAUUAAUUUUGUUUUUGAGACAGGGUCUUGCUCUGCCACCCAGGCUGGAGAGUAGUGGUGCAAUCUCAGCUCACUGCAACCUCCUCCUCCCGGUUCAAGCGAUUCUCCUGCCUCAGUCUCCUGAGUAGCUGGGAUUACAGGCAACCGCCAUCACGCCCAGCUAAUUUUUGUAUUUUUAGUAGAGACAGGGUUUCACCAUCAGGCUGGUCUCGAACUCCUGACCUUGUGAUCCGCCCGCUUUAGCCUCCCAAAGUGCUUGGAUUACAGGUGUGAGCCAAGCAGUGUUUCUUAUAGAAAAUAAAUGACUAGACAAUCACCGUGGUUACGUAUUCUCCUCUAGUUCAUUUCCUUCCUAAGCUCAUUCAUCUGUGUUUCUACAUUCUUCCACAACAAAUUACAAAUGUUAAAUUAAAAUUUCCUAGAACUUUUUCUAUGUCUAUAUAUGUAUAUAUUUUAACUGGAAAGUAAUAAUGAACAUACUCUUCCACACUUGCUUUUUUCCACUUAAGAACAUAUUUUCUGUAUUUUAAAUGUACAAUCUUAUCUUACUAAUGAGAUCUAACUAAUUCAUUUAAUAUAUGCAUAGAAUUAUGUUGUAUGGAAGUGGUAACCUAUGUGGUUAGAUUGUGAUAGGACCUCCAUUUUGUAUGUUUUAUCUGUCUGUACUGUUUCAUUACUUCGACAAUAUAAUUUUUAUAAAAAUUGAUAAAUUUUUAUUUAAAAUAAAAUAAAAUAAAAUUUCC
rnacentral:lncRNA from 1 species